rnacentral:lncRNA from 1 species
UUUCUCAUGCACAUUUCAAGAUUGCGAUGGAGCUUGCGAUGCUCGGUGCCAACUGUCGUCGCGGCCGCACCUGUGCAAGAGGGCAUGCGGGACUUGUUGCGCUCGCUGCGACUGCGUGCCACCAGGAACUUCCGGCAACUACGACGCCUGCCCUUGCUAUGCCAACAUGACUACCCACGGAGGCAGGCACAAAUGCCCCUAGAAGGGUUUCAUUUUCCACUUAGCUUCACCUGCGAAAAAUGUUUCUAUUCAGUUAAUGUAUUGCCGAGUUUGUGACGUCCAAUCCAUAAAUAAACUUUCGGAGUAAUGGUUAUUAAUAUUGAUGGAUCAUGGGAUUGGCCCCGUAAUCUUGUAAUUUUAGCCUUCCUCACUUGAGUACCAUGUUUGGUGGCUUUGAGUUUUCUUAAACAAUAAAAUUUUACAUGUCAACAAAACUUUAUGGAGUAGGUUGGUCUGGAUAUGCUCUAGCAUUGGAUCCAAUCAUGAAGUUGAGCACCAAAUCGCUCCAGCUUGUUGUUGAAUCAAAUCGUUAUUAUCUAAGCAUGCUAUACUUAAUCAAAUUCUAUCGCGUUUUACAAUAUAUAGGCGUCAUAAUGCAAUUUUUUUUUCUUUUUUGGUUGCAAUUGAUUAUGUUUGCUUUUCUAUAAGGUAGGAGGGUGGAGAGAGUUGACCGGUAUUAGCAACCUUUUUUGAGCAUUCAUCAAGAAAUGUUCGAUUUGAGUUAUAAUGACCCCAUAUUAUCUUGUAGCCGCUCACUAAAAUAUUGAUAGUUGGGAAGUCUUUCUUUGUGAUCAUGAAGUAUGUUGCUGUUAAAUAAGACAAUACAAACUAUGUAGAUGAUUAGUUGCAAUGUAAAUUGAACUUGUGAUCUUGUCCUCCUAUAAUUGAUUUAUGUCGGUUGUUCCACAAUAAUUCUAACUUCUAACCCAUAUUUUGUCCUACAAACUCCAUGAGAGCUAAAUGAAGUGCUAGGACUACUUGAGCCCGAUCCACGCCGCGACGCAUCUAAGGAUUGUCAACCGACACCGUCCGAUGGGGCAACUGAGACAUCCGGUUAUAAUGGCCUAACUCAAGCUAAGCAUGCCCGCACCAGAUCCGGACCUCUAAAAUCCAGCGUAGUUUGGUGUGAAACUGCAUGGGGUGCGAACUAGACAAGUUGCAAAGCAAAGACGAAAGGUGGAAGCGGAAAAAAGCAAGGUCCGACGGUGUUGUUUAUUGAGGACGUUCAUGCGUAUGGGGAUAGAGACCUUUCAUCCGUCCAACGUGGCUGACAUGUCAGAUUUCUUGAUCUUCUCUCCUCUUUUGAGAAAUUGUUAGGAGGCUUUGCAAGCCUAACAGUCUUUGAGUGAGAAUAAUGAUUUAUUAUGAGUCACAAAUUCUUAAAGAAGUAUGUCUUACAAUAAUUUAUAAUUAUUUAUGAUUUGAUUUUUUUAAGAAUAGACUGUUAUUCUCAUAAUACACUAAAAAUUCUCACACAAUCAUUUCUCAAUAUUAGGUAGAGCUCUGAGGUUAGUCACUAUGUCAAAAUCUCAAUCCAUUCAUCGGGUGACAUGUGUCCUCGAACCCACUGCGCUAGAACCCCUCUCCUCUCUCACCGUCUUGCCUCUCUCUUCCCUAUCUUUCUUCUCUUCUUUUGUCCUUUCUUGCCUUCUUUUUCCCUUUCGUUCCGAUAGGGACGACAACAGACAUUUGUCCCCUUUCACCACCACCACUACCUCGCCAUUGUUUAAGUCCACCACCUUGUCGCGAUUUUAGUCCUCCAUUGUUGAACACAAGCUCCACCAGCAAACUUGGGCCUCAGAUUUCUGAUCAAAGGUCGAGUGAGCCCUAGAUUUGUGAUCUAGAGCUCAGCUAGACCUCAAAUCUAAGUUGAUUCAAGGUUGACUAAAGUCGGCUUAGGCAACGAACCAGGCGUGUCGACGGGGUGUGGGGUCUCGACCUUUUGGCUGACGUGGGAUGAGUUGGACAUGAGGUGGAGGUGUUGGAGGUUAGAGAAGGAGCACGCGAAGAUGGAGGCAUGCGAGAAGGAGCAUUCAUCGAGAAAUGUUCAAUAUUUGAACUACCCAUCUGUAUCUUGAGUCAUUUCUUAUCCACCCAAUGACAGUGACGGAAUUUUUAGUGUGUUUAGUAUUUACCCACCUAAUAUGAACUUUCUCAACACAAAUAAAUUGUUCGAUAACAAAAAAGAAGUUUUUUCGGACGAAGUUGUUUUGGUUUGAUUAGUUUAUCCAGCCAGGGAUGCAAGACUCUCAUAGUUGCAAGGUGAUGGUGGCUGGGGUAGUAAAGGAUUAUUUUGAGUCAAAGUACAAGAAGCCUGUCGCAUUCACAUUGGACAUCGAUCCAUUCAACCACUUAGCUCGAUCCGAUAUGAUACAUUGGCGGCUUUCGCGAGUUUUCUGGUUUGGCGUUUGCUGGAAAACUAAAAGAGGAACAGCUGUGCAUGCCGAGUUUCCCAGCUGGCAGUGGGAGAUGAUGAUGCUCUCUGCUCUCAUCUGGUGCAGGUUCGAAUCUGAGGCUCAGAGCCCCGAUGCUUUUUCCUUCACCUCAUAUCGAUCGAAAGUACGCAAAACCAUGCAACUUUAUGUGCCAAACUAAACUCACCUUCGAACAAAAUGUCGCCAUUUUAUCAGCUCAGGACUUAAAAAACACACAAGAGAAAGCCAAACAGCCCACGCAUGCAUGCAGCUGUGCAGAUGACCACCUUACGCGCUUCUUCGAAAGUCCGGUCGGCCGCAAAUAAUUCACUCGGGCUACUUGCUACCAACCCUAGAUGGUCAUCUUAAUGAGAGGUCUGCGAGACGAACUUUACUUGCUUAGGAUAAGCCUAUAUAUAUAGCCCGCCCUCUGCCCUCCCCCUUCAUUGUAUCAAACAUCAUCCGACCAAAGUCAUUAGGACUGCAUCAUUGACAUUCAAUUAUAACUCCGAAAAAGUCUUGACCAUGGCGAUCCACAGGCUUUUAAUUGCUUCCGUCUUAAUCUCCGUCCUUCUUCAACUUGCCGAAGCUGACCAGAUGGUACCAACUCGUUCUGCUUUUGGUUAUUCGUAUAUUCUGCUCGUUUGAUUUUCUUCUCUCCUGUAUCACACUACCUCAUGUCCAUUCAAACUAACCAAAACGAUCCUUUUGUGUCCUUGACAGACGCAGGGAGUUGGAAAUGCAGGAGACAACUCGAAGCUUCUGAAAAUGGGUACAGAACUAUAUAUGAAGAGUCAUUUCUCUUUUUCGCUCUUAAAUUUUUAAUAAUCAUCUAGUAACGCGAGGUCUUCAUCUUCAUUGUGUAGACUGUAGUGGAGCGUGUGCCGCCAGGUGUCAGCUGUCGUCGAGGCCUCGCCUUUGCCAAAGGGCUUGUGGGACGUGCUGCUCCCGCUGCAACUGUGUUCCUCCGGGCACCUCCGGCAACCUCGACGUCUGUCCGUGCUACGCCAACAUGACCACGCGCGACAACAAGCACAAGUGCCCAUGAGAUGCUCGACGGCCUUUGUUUUCUUUCUCAUGGUCGGACACCAAUCGGUCAAGCUUGUGCAAUUGCUGCUAAUUAUUGUCGGGACGUUGUUUUUGCUGUUGUACUUUCAUGGAGCUGGUCAGGAAGUGGUUUGCAAAUGCAAAUUCACAAUGCAUUCAGCAAUUUAUCUGUUGUAUCUAUCGUGAAUAAAGUUUUUCCAUUUAUUUUUCGUUUCAUUGCGCUUAUUACUCUUUUGUCGGACCAAUAUAAGUUGCACCUAAAUUGACGGUUCAUAUUCAUUUUUAACAUAUUCUAGAGUUACCAAAGAAUAAAUCCUGAUUGAUAACUGAUGGUUGGAUCGGUGAAAACAAAGUUUGAGGCCUGAAUUUUACUCGAAUUGAUAAAAUUAGACCUUUACCGGUGCUGCAAGCUUACUGAGACAUUGAAACUGAUUGUCCACUUUGUCCAUCGGAAAUGCAGAACCCCAAAAACCAAGUGGCCGGGAUAGGAACCAAGCCGAAUCAUAUAUAUGGUCCUAACCAUGUAUGUAAGCCCAAAUUCACUUAAAGACAAAGUAAAGCUCAUAAGUUCACAGCCGAUAAAUAGAAAGGGUUAGCUUGAUUGACUUGACAAAUCUCAAUCGUUAAUAAUGUUAUCAUCUUCAUAAAUCAACGAUUGAGAUUCACUGAUGCAUCAAAAUAAGCACUUACAAGAUAUAAUAUCCACGCCUAUUAUCUAUGUCAUGUAUUACAUAUUAUGAAUGUUCUUAUUUGCUUUCCAAAUAAUACCAAUUUGCUUAUGGAGAUUAAUUUGAAUAGGUAAAAGAUCCUCCUAUGCCGAGAAGGAUAAAAAUGAUAUUCCGACAAUGGUAAUAGAUGGAUUCGGAGCUCGGAUGUUGGGGACAAAGGACACAACAUUAGCAAGGAAGCAUGAGUUAAUCUCCUUCUCAAGUAGCCCAUCACCAUAUGAUGCUGUGUCCAAAGUACCCAUCUCUUUGAUGAUAAGUGCUGUGCUGAAAUGAUUCUGUGAUUUUGCACCUAUCUCACCAUUGUCUUCAUUUUACAGAUUGGACCUUAAUUAUGAUUUUCCAGCCCAUGAUCCGAUGGAUGAUGACCAUCAGGAUCGAUUCAUCAGUCUCUUUGAGUUCAAAUAUGUUUAUCUUCUGCUUAAAUGUUAAGCAUAAGGAAUAUCCCUACGCAGCAUCCACCUACUCAUCACUUUCCGCUUUCCACGUAUUGGGUGAAUUUUAAGAAGUAACCUAACUCUCUCCCUCUCUUCUUCCAUGCUCGAUCUAUAAAUUGUGCUCGUUUCUUGAAUUCCAAACACGCCACACUACACUUGAAGCUAAUGGCGUUGUCGAGGCUUUGUACGGCGUUGCUGCUCCUCUCUCUUCUUUUGAUCCACCAAGCUGAAUCUGAUUAUAUGGUAAAACAUACUGUAAAUGAUCUUUUUUUGCUUUAAAUGCUACUUUUCAACGAUCUUUGAAGAUCUGUUCUCAUUCAAUGUACUUCUAUCGAGCUUCCAUUAAUGCCCUAAUCAAAUUCUCCUUUUGUUAGGUGAUUCAGUUGAACACAGCUGAGGCACCACCUCCUCCACCUCCACAUAUAGGUAUGAACACAGUCGCAUCUUAGAUCCGCCUCGAAACUAGAACUCCGAAGUAUCUGUUCAUUUUAAGUUAGUUUCUUGUGCACAUUUCAAGAUUGCGACGGAGCUUGUGAUGCUCGGUGCCAGCUGUCGUCGCGGCCACACCUUUGCAAGAGGGCAUGCGGGACUUGUUGCGCCCGCUGCGACUGCGUGCCGCCGGGAACUUCCGGCAACUACGAUGCCUGCCCUUGCUAUGCCAACAUGACUACUCAUGGAGGCAGGCACAAAUGCCCCUAGAAGGGUUUCAUUUU